UAGCUCAGUCAGUUAGAGCGUGGUGCUGAUAACACCAAGGUCGCGGGUUCAAUCCCCGU
rnacentral:tRNA from 1 species